GUAGGUGAACCUGCGGAGGGAUCAUUACAAGUGACCCCGGUCUUACCACCGGGAUGUUCAUAACCCUUUGUUGUCCGACUCUGUUGCCUCCGGGGCGACCCUGCCUUCGGGCGGGGGCUCCGGGUGGACACUUCAAACUCUUGCGUAACUUUGCAGUCUGAGUAAACUUAAUUAAUAAAUUAAAACUUUUAACAACGGAUCUCUUGGUUCUG
rnacentral:misc_RNA from 1 species